GCGGGUAUAGCUCAGUUGGCUAGAGCGCAGCUCUGAUAAAGCUGAGGUCCCAGGUUCGAAUCCUGGUACCCGCA
rnacentral:tRNA from 1 species